UCAAUUUAUCAAAACAGUUUUUGUGUCAAAAUUUUUGACAGAAUCGAUUAACCCGGUUAUAUUAUAUAUGAUGUGUUUGAUCUUUUUUUGAUUCAUUUCUCUUCGGUGAAAUUACAUGAUUACGACGAUCCCAAAAUAAUAACGUCAACAAAUUUGAUGUAAUGAAAAGGCAGUCAUAAAAUGAUAGUGACCAGAGUCUUGUGAAUUUUUUUACAUUAGCUUUCUAUUUCCAGCAAAUAUGAUGAAUAUUAUCAACCAUGGCAGCUCAAAAAACUGCCUUGGACUUAUUUAAUGGAAAAAUUAUCAACAGUCUUGGAAAGACUGAUGGUUCUUGAUGUGAUCCUAAUCAAAACUGAUAUAUGAUGAUUCCUUUUGAACCUCAAAGGCCAGGAAUAAAGCUAUCUAGACAAAGAAGGAGAUUACAGGAGGAAACAUCAAUGUUUAACUAACAUCCUACAUCUACCUCGACUCUUGGUUAAACAAAGCUAUAUAAACAGAUUGAAAAUGGUUCAUGGAUAAAGUGUGUGAUUAAAGAUUCUUAAAAGAACCCGUCAAAAUAUCAAAUAAACCGGAACCUCAUUAAAAGACCAUUACUCAUUAAAUCUUGUUGACUUUUUUUGCUGCUUCUGCUGUUGCUGAUACUUCACAAUUCACCUUUGCAUUCCUACGUGAAAGGAGUAAAAUAACUUUUCCAUCAACGUUAUAAAGUUAAUCGUUAAAGUUAUGUUUGCUAACUAGUCUAAAAUAACUGAGCAUCAAUCAACAAUAUCCAACAAAUUUAAAGACAAUAUAUAACCUCACAUCCAACCCGAACUCAUAGCAAACCAGCGAGAAAAAAAGACACUUUCAAAGGUGAAUUUAAUUGCAUUUCCAAAAUUACCUUUUAAUACCAGUAAAGUUUCAAUAACUUUUGUCAUAAAGACAAGUAAACAUUGGCAUAAAACCUUUGAAAAGUCAAUGAUGGCCAACAUCAAGUAUUGAGCAAAAUAACGAUGGCUAUAAAACUAACGACGAGCUAAUGCAAGAUGAAAUGGUCCUACCGUUUUCAAAUACAAUCAUCAUUGCUGCAAAAGUAAACUCAACGUGAAAGGUGAAGAGAGGAAAAUGAACCGCAAAUAAUGGUGAUAUUAUUAUAUUAUAUAAUUAUUAUUAUUUAUUGAGCAGUUUGUCUACAUCAUUACAUGGAUUCAUGAGAAAAGGCUGACAAAAAGUAUUUUGUUUUCAUCAAUUGUAAAAUUACUUUGAGCCUGAAUUCACAAGCAAGUUUAUGUUGAUCGCUACCAGUCAAAUGAAACAAUUUGUUACCUUCUCACAGGUAAAGUAGUCAAAAAAAGACUUGGAACGAAGUUGUAAUCAGGAACCAUUGGAAUAAAAAAAGAUAAUAACAAUAAUGAUGAUAAUAAUGAUGGAAGGGUCGUUGGAAACGUUAUUAGCACGUUCACAGAGGAAUCUGAGGAAGCAACAAAAAUAAUGAUAAUGAUAAUGGUCAACACAAGACAGGAGAGAGAAAUAAAAAGUUGAGUUUGUGUCACUUUUUUGACGUUAAUUGAAAAAAAGUGAAAAUAAAAAAGUUUUCUCAAGCUUAUUACGUUGUGGUUAAGCAGUUUAUUUAAAGUGAUAAAGUCAACGUUUCUUCAAUGCUAAUAAGGCUUUUCCCAACAUUUUGCAGUACAAACAAAGGCUCUCUCUCCAGUUAUGUAGAUGACAUUGAUGAUGAUGGUGAUGGUGAAAACAUUUAAAUGUUGAUUUCAUUAACGUUUCAAUGGAAGAAA